CAGCAGCCGCGGGAAUACGUAGGGUGCGAGCGUUAAUCGGAAUUACUGGGCGUAAAGCGUGCGCAGGCGGUUAUAUAAGACAGAUGUGAAAUCCCCGGGCUCAACCUGGGACCUGCAUUUGUGACUGUAUAGCUAGAGUACGGUAGAGGGGGAUGGAAUUCCGCGUGUAGCAGUGAAAUGCGUAGAUAUGCGGAGGAACACCGAUGGCGAAGGCAAUCCCCUGGACCUGUACUGACGCUCAUGCACGAAAGCGUGGGGAGCAAACAGGAUUAGAUACCCGAGUAGUCCCUGUCUCUUAUAC
rnacentral:rRNA from 1 species